rnacentral:hammerhead_ribozyme from 1 species
GUACUGCUGAAGAGUCCCAAACUAGGACGAACGAAACAGCUGUCCAGUAC